AACGAACGCUGGCGGCGUGCCUAACACAUGCAAGUCGAACGGAAUUAGAGAGCUUGCUCUUUGAUCUAGUGGCGCACGGGUGAGUAACGCGUAGAUAAUCUGCCUGACGAUCUGGGAUAACACUUCGAAAGAGGUGCUAAUACCGGAUAAGCCCACGGGUUCUUUGGAAUCUGCGGGAAAAGGGGGGGACCUUCGGGCCUUCUGUCGUCAGAUUAGUCUGCGUACCAUUAGCGAGUUGGUAGGGUAAAGGCCUACCAAGGCGACGAUGGUUAGCUGGUCUGAGAGGAUGAUCAGCCAAACUGGAACUGAGACACGGUCCAGACUCCUACGGGAGGCAGCAGUGGGGAAUUUUGCGCAAUGGGCGAAAGCCUGACGCAGCAACGCCGCGUGAGUGAUGAAGGCUUUCGGGUCGUAAAGCUCUGUCAAUGGGAAAGAAGUGUAUUUUGGCUAAUAUCCUUAAUACUUGACGGUACCCAUAAAGGAAGCACCGGCUAACUCCGUGCCAGCAGCCGCAGUAACAC
rnacentral:rRNA from 1 species